rnacentral:piRNA from 1 species
UUGUACAGAAAAAAUGGUGUUAAGAAAUCC